AGCGAUUUCCUCCAUGCCCAGUUCGUCUGCCAUUUUCUUAAAACAAUCCGAGGCGUCCUGCUCUGAGCCCAAGCUCCUGAUGCUCCCGCUGGCAUCACUGCAGCAAAAGACCUGUAGGAUAGAAAAAGAAGAAGGAGAUGAAGAGGAGGAGGGGUAAGAAGAAAAACAACAACAAUUUAAAAGGAGAGAAACUGUGUUCAGGUGGCUGCCAUGAAAGGACAUAGAGGGUGUGGCAGGAAGGGAAGUGUGGAAAGGAAGAACAGCUACUCCUAAACGUGGGUGUCCCCUGGCCCUACUUCUCUUUCUCCCUUUCUGUGAUCUCCCUGUAAGAUCUGCAAGAUCUCUUUCAUCCCUUGAGUUAUUUCCUCUGACUUCCAGCCCACUGGACAUUUCCCAGUUAAGAGCCCAUUGUCUUCACAAACGCCAUCUCCAAAAGGAGCUCCUCCCCUGGCCAC
rnacentral:lncRNA from 10 species